GCCAGUGUGGUACAGUGGUUUGAGUGUUGGACUAUGACUUUGAAGAUCAGUGUUUGAGUCCCUGCUCAGCCA